AGAGUUUGAUCCUGGCUCAGGAUGAACGCUAGCGACAGGCCUAACACAUGCAAGUCGAGGGGCAGCACGAGGUAGCAAUACUAGGGUGGCGACCGGCGGACGGGUGAGUAACACGUAUGCAACCUGCCCGUAAUCGGGGGAUAACCCGGAGAAAUUCGGACUAACACUCCAUGUAUCUGUAUUAUUGCAUGAUAAAACAGAAAAACGCAAGGAUUACGGAUGGGCAUGCGGAUGAUUAGCUGGUUGGCGGGGUAACGGCCCACCAAGGCGACGAUCAUUAGGGGUUCUGAGAGGAAGGUCCCCCACAUUGGAACUGAGAAACGGUCCAAACUCCUACGGGAGGCAGCAGUGAGGAAUAUUGGUCAAUGGGCGAGAGCCUGAACCAGCCAAGUCGCGUGAAGGAAGAAGGUCUUAUGGAUUGUAAACUUCUUUAGCAGGGGAAUAAAGGUUAUUACGAGCUAAUAAUUUGCAGGUACUCUGCGAAAAAGGAUCGGCUAACUCCGUGCCAGCAGCCGCGGUAAUACGGAGGAUUCGAGCGUUAUCCGGAUUUAUUGGGUUUAAAGGGUGCGUAGGCGGAUUUGUAAGUCAGUGGUGAAAGUUUCCGGCUUAACCGGGAGAAUGCCGUUGAGACUGCAGGUCUUGAGUGCAAGCGAGGUAAGUGGAAUGUGUUGUGUAGCGGUGAAAUGCAUAGAUAUAACACAGAACACCGAUUGCGAAGGCAGCUUACUAGUAUGUAACUGACGCUGAGGCACGAAAGCGUGGGGAGCAAACAGGAUUAGAUACCCUGGUAGUCCACGCAGUAAACGAUGAAUACUAGCUGUAUGCGAUAGACAGUAUGCGGCGGAGCGAAAGCAUUAAGUAUUCCACCUGGGGAGUACGUCGGCAACGAUGAAACUCAAAGGAAUUGACGGGGGCCC
rnacentral:rRNA from 1 species